GACGAACGCUGGGCGGCGUGGAUUAGGCAUGCAAGUCGAACGGUAGGAUACCUUCGGGUAUCUGAGAGUGGCGAACGGGUGAGUAACACGUAGGUGAUCUACCCUCAAGAUUGGGACAACCCAGGGAAACUUGGGCUAAUACCGGAUGAAAGCAGCAGUGAUGUUGUUUGAAAGGUGGCGUAAGCUGCCGUUUGGGGAUGAGCCUGCGCUCUAUUAGUUAGUUGGCGGGGUAAAGGCCCACCAAGGCGAUGAUAGAUAGGCGGCCUUAACGGGUGGUCGCCCACACUGGGAUUGAGAUACGGCCCAGACUCCUACGGGAGGCAGCAGUCGAGAAUAGUCUACAAUGGCCGAAAGGCUGAUAGUGCGACGCCGCGUGAACGAAGAAGCCCUUCGGGGUAAAAAGUAAAGUUCUUUUAUAUGUGAGCAGUGCUUUCUAUGUGAACAGCAUGGGGAGAGAGAUAUUAGCAUAUGAAUAAGCAACGGCUAACUCCGUG
rnacentral:rRNA from 1 species